UACGUAGGGCGCAAGCGUUGUCCGGAAUUAUUGGGCGUAAAGGGCUCGUAGGCGGUUUGUCGCGUCUGCUGUGAAAACCUAAGGCUCAACCUUGGGCUUGCAGUGGGUACGGGCAGACUAGAGUGCGGUAGGGGUGACUGGAAUUCCUGGUGUAGCGGUGGAAUGCGCAGAUAUCAGGAGGAACACCGAUGGCGAAGGCAGGUCACUGGGCCGCAACUGACGCUGGAG
rnacentral:rRNA from 1 species